UACAGGGGGUGCAAACGUUGCUCGGAAUUAUUGGGCGUAAAGAGCUCGUAGGCGGUCUGUUGCGUCGGCUGUGAAAACCCGGGGCUCAACCCCGGGCCUGCAGCCGAUACGGGCAGACUAGAGUUCGGCAGGGGAGACUGGAAUUCCUGGUGUAGCGGUGGAAUGCGCAGAUAUCAGGAGGAACACCGGUGGCGAAGGCGGGUCUCUGGGCAGUAACUGACGCUGAGGAGCGGAAGCGUGGGGAGCGAACAGG
rnacentral:rRNA from 1 species